rfam:[Clostridium] sordellii strain JGS6382 genome assembly, chromosome: 1
UGUGGUUAUUAUAGCAAAGAGGAUACACCUGUUCCCAUUCCGAACACAGAAGUUAAGCUCUUUAGCGCCGAUGGUACUUGGUGGGAAGCCGCCUGGGAGAGUAGGACAUAGCCACGU